UCCGUCGGUAAGAGAAUUAGUAACCUUGCGUGUUUCUCUUUUUAUCAAGGGUUAAUUAGGUUUUGAGCUCCUCCUAUCAUAUACAUACAUCGCUCAUAGAGAACGCCUCAUCCAUCUCUUCCCAAUCGUCUCUCCAUCGUCGUCUGCGGCCUCCCCUCCACCACUCCUUCGAUUUCUUCUUCCACCUUCACUCUCUCGCUUCUCUUACUAUUCAAUUCCUUGAGCAACGAUCUCUUUUUCUGAACAAUUUUUCCAUCGGUGAACGCAUCUCUGUUCUCUUCUGAGCUCGUUCCGAUUCGCAGCCAUGAAUUGUAAGUGCUUCCUGCGUUAUUUUCCCCAUUUCUCCUUCAAUUUUCCAUGGAAUUGCUUCCUGAACAUUUUUUACUCCACCUUAAUUUAGAUCUAACGUUGUUUCAUUCAAUCUUAUUAAUGUGUAUUUUAAUUUGUUUUUUCAUUCAAUCUUUUUUAUUUAUUAAAAAUUUGUGUUGGCGGUAGCACAGGUUAUGGAAGAUUGGAUACAAUUAUAUCAGCUGGAUACAUACCAAGCUCAAAGUGUUAGGUGUGAUGCUAAGAGCUUGGAAGAUACACUGAUCAAGCGUGUGAUGGACCUGAGGAGGUCAUUACAAGAACCCUUGAUCCUAUUGCAGCUGUUGGUAGCAGGGAUGCAUUAGCCAAAUUCUAAAUCUAUCAUUGGAGUUCUUGAUAUCUAUGGGUUUGAAAGUAUUAAAUUCAAUUUAUUCGCUUAUGCAUCCUUACCAUAGAACUUCAUAUCUCAACUAAUUUAUAUCAUGCUGUUUGAACUUUGAAAUAUUAGAAAAACUGAUUCUGUUUUGGGGGGAUGGCAGUUUUCCAUGUUUGUUCUUUAGUAACCAUUGGUGCAAUGCUCGGGGAUGUAACGAGUGGCCAGAUUACCGAUUUCUUUGGCCGGAAAAGGGCAAUGAGAAUGUCAACAGCAUUUUGCAUAACAGGAUGGUUAGCCCUCUUCUUCUCAAAGGUAUGCAUCUCAUGCAAUAUGUAAAUUCAUCUCCUAAAAAAAAGGUUAUCAAAAUUGAAUUGAGGUUCAAUGUGUUAUUUUGUAAUGUGUUAUUUUGUCUGCUUCAGGAUCCUUACUCACUCGACUUUGGAAGAUUUUUCACAGGAUAUGGAAUUGGAGUUAUCUCAUAUGUGGUUCCUAUAUAUAUAGCUGAAAUAGCACCAAAGAAUCUUUGAGGUGGACUUGCAACAACAAAUCAGGUAUGAAAGCAUUAGGAAUGAUCAUAUUACUUGUUUGAUGAUUAAAAUGUUGAAGCACACCAUUGGCUGCGAAGGUUGGUCUUGAAAAGGAAUUUCAAGGAGCAUUAAGGAGACUUCAGGAAAAAAAUGUUGAUACUUCUCAAGAAGCUGAAGAAAUUCUUGUACUUUCUUAGCUCCAAUCAUUAACUUAUUGAACAUGGUUAAAAUGUUUCUUAAUCAAGUUGAUAUGCUUGAUCAUCUGAGCUCCCUUUUCUUAACUCAUUUUUCUUAUAAGACUAUAUUGAAACUCUCCAAAGCAUUCCAAAAACUAGGCUUCUGGAUUUGUUCCAAAGCAAACACGUGCAAUUUGUAAUGGUAAGUGGCACAAUAUUCAUACAUACCAAUUUUUGUAUAUUUACUCAGAUUUCUAACUGUUUGUGAUGAUUUCAGAUUGGGGUUGUAUUAAUGGUGUCAACAAUCUGUUGGAAUUAAUGGUAUUGGAUUUUACACAUAUGAGACUUUUAUAGCAACCAGUAAGUAAAUAUAUGUAGUGGAUGCAUGAUGAUUUUAAAAAGCCAAUAUAAUGUUCUGUGUAAUUAGUCUCCUAUAACUUGCAGAGGUAUGUUGGUUGCACAAUCAUGACAUUGGCAUUAUUAAGUGCAUAAUGAUCUAGUAUGACAGAGUUUUAAUUUUCUAAAGAUUCUUUCCAUGAUGGGUUCUUUGCGUCCACAAUCUUAAAAAAGGAAAUCAAAAUGGGUAGUGAUAAGGCAGAAGCUUUUGCAGGUGAGAAUAUUUAUUUAGAAAUGUUGUUUGUCUGCAAUAGGUAUUGUUGUGGUCAUAAUGGUGCAUAAGGAAAAGAUUCAUUAGAUGGAUUUAUUAGUAUCAUCAAAUGCUUUUACAGGAACUAAAAUUAGCAGAAGCUACUAUAAAUAGACUGCAGACAGUUGGUUUCACUGUUGUUCCACUACCACCGCUACCGCCUCAAUCUCUUCGGAUGAGGACUAUGAUGAUGAUGGGGAUGAAGAUGACACUGAGGACUAUAGCUGAUAAAUUUAGUAUAGUUGAACAUUACACUGAGUUUAUGUUUUGAAUAAUAGUUGAUGUAUCAAUACACUUUGUUGAUGUAUGGUUGUUACUUAUUAUUAUAGUUGAUGUAUCAAUACACUUUGUUUAUGUUUUGAAUUA